GAUGAACGCUGGCGGCGUGCCUAAUACAUGCAAGUCGAGCGAACAGACGAGGAGCUUGCUCCUCUGACGUUAGCGGCGGACGGGUGAGUAACACGUGGAUAACCUACCUAUAAGACUGGGAUAACUUCGGGAAACCGGAGCUAAUACCGGAUAAUAUAUUGAACCGCAUGGUUCAAUAGUGAAAGACGGUUUUGCUGUCACUUAUAGAUGGAUCCGCGCCGCAUUAGCUAGUUGGUAAGGUAACGGCUUACCAAGGCAACGAUGCGUAGCCGACCUGAGAGGGUGAUCGGCCACACUGGAACUGGGCCACGGUCCAGACUCCUACGGGAGGCAGCAGUAGGGAAUCUUCCGCAAUGGGCGAAAGCCUGACGGAGCAACGCCGCGUGAGUGAUGAAGGUCUUCGGAUCGUAAAACUCUGUUAUUAGGGAAGAACAAAUGUGUAAGUAACUAUGCCCGUCUUGACGGUACCUAAUCAGAAAGCCACGGCUAACUACGUG
rnacentral:rRNA from 1 species